GUUAUUUAAUUGAUAACUGGUAUGAAUGGUUUUAUAAAAAAUAUUCUUUUUUUAUUUUUAAUUUAAAAUUUUAUUUUAAAGUUAAAAAGCUUUAAUUUAUUUAUUAGACGAUAAGACCCUUUAGAACUUUAAUAUUAUUUUAAAUUAUAUUUUUAGUUUUAUAAAUAUAAAUUAUUUAUAUAUUUUUGUUGGGGUGAUGGUUAAUUUUUAAAAACUUUAAUUUAAAUAUAUUCAUAGAUUUAUGAUUUUUUUGAUCCAAUUUGUUUGAUUAAAAGAUUAAGUUACCUUAGGGAUAACAGCGUAAUUUUGUUGGAGAGUUCUUAUUAAUAACAAAGUUUGCGACCUCGAUGUUGGAUUAA
rnacentral:rRNA from 1 species